UACGUAGGGUGCGAGCGUUAAUCGGAAUUACUGGGCGUAAAGGGUGCGUAGGCGGGAGUAUAAGUUAGAUGUGAAAUCCCUGAGCUUAACUUAGGAAUAGCAUUUAAGACUGUACACCUAGAGUUUAUCAGAGGGGGGUAGAAUUCCAAGUGUAGCAGUGAAAUGCGUAGAGAUUUGGAGGAAUACCGAUGGCGCAGGCAGCCCCCUGGGAUGAGACUGACGCUGAGGCACGAAAGCGUGGGUAGCAAACAGGAUUAGAUACCCUGGUAGUCCACGCCCUAAACGAUGUCUACUUGCUGUUGGGGGUGAAACCUUAGUAGCGAAGCUAACGCGAGAAGUAGACCGCCUGGGGAGUACGGUCGCAAGAUUAAAACUCAAAGGAAUUGACGGGGACCCGCACAAGCGGUGGAUGAUGUGGAUUAAUUCGAUGCAACGCGAAGAACCUUACCUGCUCUUGACAUGCCAAGAAUCUUGUAGAGAUAUGAGAGUGCCUUCGGGAACUUGGGCACAGGUGCUGCAUGGCUGUCGUCAGCUCGUGUCGUGAGAUGUUGUCUUAAGUGACGCAACGAGCGCAACCCUUACUACUAGUUGCCCCAAUUAAGUUUGGCACUCUAGUGGGACUGCCGAAGAUAAUUCGGAGGAAGGUGGGGAUGACGUCAAGUCCUCAUGGCCCUUAUGAGCAGGGCUUCACACGUCAUACAAUGGUAGGUACAGACGGUUGCCAAGCCGCGAGGUGGAGCUAAUCCGAGAAAGCCUAUCGUAGUCCGGAUUGUAGUCUGCAACUCGACUACAUGAAGUCGGAAUCGCUAGUAAUCGCAGAUCAGAAUGCUGCGGUGAAUACGUUCCCGGGUCU
rnacentral:rRNA from 1 species